rnacentral:piRNA from 1 species
AGGACAGUCUUCAAAGCCACAGA